AUAAAACAUGUAUUUUUGGAUUUUCUCGAAAUCCGUGCGUCGAACUCAAAAUCCGUCAGCGUCAUUAGCUCCAGAACAGCUGACCCGGUCGAAACGAGCUAUUGGACUGCUAUGAACAGAGUCCGGUACGAGCCAGAAGCCAACUUCUCACCGCGGCUUCUCCGGAAAAUCGAGUUACUAUUCACUUUAAGUGAAACUUGGAAAUCGCGUAGAAUUUCCGUUUUAACUCGAUUUCGCCCGAAACUUGACGAGUGCUUUUGUAAUUAAAUUACACACAAAAACAUCGUCAACUGAGAGUUUAGCUACACUGCAAAAAUCUCAGUCCUUACAUUAAUUUGUCAAAAUAUCUCAAAUAAAAAUUAACGGUCAUAAUCAAUCUAUUAAAUCUCUACUAUAUAUAAAAAGGAAUAAAAUAAUAUUUCUUACGAAUGGUUAUGAUUAAUUUGUUAAAAAUAUAUCAAAUAAAAAUGAACGACUAUGAUCAAUUUAUUAAAUCUCUACUAUAUAUUAAAAAUCUAUUCCUAAUGGUUACGAUUAAUUUGUUAAAAAAAAAAUCAAAUAAGAACAUGCAUGAUCAAUCUAUUAAAAAAUAGCAUUUCUAUCCAUCUAUAAAUUCAAUCCUACGAUUGAUUAUAAUCAAUUUGUUAAAAAAUAUCUCAAAUAAAAACAAACGAUUAUAAUCAAUUUGUUAAAAAAAUAGCAUUCCUAUUUAU
rnacentral:lncRNA from 1 species